rnacentral:rRNA from 1 species
UACGUAGGGGGCAAGCGUUGUCCGGAUUUAUUGGGCGUAAAGAGCGUGUAGGCGGUUAGGUAGGUCCGUUGUGAAAACUCGAGGCUCAACCUCGAGACGCCGAUGGAAACCAUCUGACUAGAGUCCGGAAGAGGAGAGUGGAAUUCCUGGUGUAGCGGUGAAAUGCGCAGAUAUCAGGAAGAACACCCGUGGCUAAGGCGGCUCUCUAGUACGUGACUGACGCUGAGACGCGAAAGCGUGGGGAGCCAACAGG